rnacentral:lncRNA from 1 species
GCGGAGGGAGCAGCAGGCUCCGUGCAGGGAGCCGAGUGGGACCCGACUCCGGAUCCCGGGUCGCGGCCUGAGCCGCCCCGGCGCCCCCGGGCAUUUGCUCUGAACUCGGCUUCUCAAACAGGUUCCCGAGAGGAGCAGCUGCGGCCGAGAAGUUCAGAGACGCGGUUACCGCGGAACUCGCAACAGUUGGUGUCGGGCGAUAGGCAGGUUAGAAGUGAUAAACGGGGCUCGUUUGAGAGACAAAAAGUUCCGGGAAGGGAGAGGAAGGGCAGCGGCGGCCGUGGGGCGCGCCGGGGGGCGGCGCGAGCGGCUGCUCCGGGCAGGAGCCUCCCUGGGCGGCGGCGGGGCGGGGGCGGCGGCGGCGGCGGCGGCGGGGCGGCGGGGCGGAGGGGGGAGCCCGCGGCGCACACAGGCGCCGACACCGCACGCCGGGCGGCCGCGCAGUCCGCCGAGCUCGCCGCCAGCGCACGCCCGAGCGCCCCGCCGACCGCGCCGGGGCCACGGCGAGGUGAGGCCGGCCCUGCCCCCGCGCCGCCCCCGGCGGGAGGCGCGACGCCCAGGCCUCGGGUGCGUGCGCGGCCCCGGGCGACGCGGCUGGGCGUGCGCGGGGCCGCGGCGGAGGCAGGGCCGGGCGGGCGGCAGAAGAUGGCGAGGGUGUGUAGGCGGCAGCAAUGCUCCGUUGAGAGACGCGGCUUUCGGCAGGAACUGGACUCGUGGCGCCACAAGCUCAUUCACUGUGUAGGUGAGACCCUCCCCCGGCCGCCUCCGGCCCUUGGGCCGCCCCGCCACCGGCUGCCCCGGACGAGGGAGGGAGCCGGGGCACGGGCAAUUGCCGCCCCGGCCCGCCCGCCCGCCCGCCCUCCCUCUUUGGCUCGGGCGUCCCCCUCCCCCACCCCCCGGAGCGCGGGCGCGCGCGACCUCCGGGCGGGCUCUCCCCGGCCCCCUCCCCCUCCCCUCCCCUCCCCUCCGCGCGCCUUCCCCGGGGCGGGCUCUCGGGCGGGAGCGCGUGCCCCUUCCCUCCCGUCCCCCCUCCUCCCCGCCCGGCGGCCCGGCGCCGCCGCCGGCUUAUUGUGGAAGCUCGCCCCGCGGCGCUGCCACUAG